rnacentral:misc_RNA from 1 species
GAUGAAGAACGUAGCGAAAUGCGAUAAGUAAUGUGAAUUGCAGAAUUCAGUGAAUCAUCGAAUCUUUGAACGCACAUUGCGCCCGCUAGUAUUCUGGCGGGCAUGCCUGUUCGAGCGUCAUUUCAACCAUCAAGCCCCCGGGCUUGUGUUGGGGACCUGCGGCUGCCGCAGGCCCUGAAAAGCAGUGGCGGGCUCGCUGUCACACCGAGCGUAGUAGAUUUUAUCUCGCUCUGGGCGUGCUGCGGGUUCCGGCCGUUAAACCACCCUUUUAACCCAAGGUUGACCUCGGAUCAGGUAGGAAGACCCGCUGAACUUAAGCAUAUCAAUAAGCGGAGGA